rnacentral:rRNA from 1 species
UACGGGGGGGGGCAAGCGUUGUUCGGAAUUACUGGGCGUAAAGGGCUCGUAGGCGGCCAACUAAGUCAGACGUGAAAUCCCUCGGCUUAACCGGGGAACUGCGUCUGAUACUGGAUGGCUUGAGUUUGGGAGAGGGAUGCGGAAUUCCAGGUGUAGCGGUGAAAUGCGUAGAUAUCUGGAGGAACACCGGUGGCGAAGGCGGCAUCCUGGACCGACACUGACGCUGAGGCGCGAAAGCCAGGGGAGCAAACGGG